AUAUUGUGAUUAGGGCAUUUACGUAUAAAUAAUUUAAACCUCUCCCAAGCAUCAUAAAGAGAUUCAGUCUCUUGUUGUUUGAAAUGUGUAAUUUCACCUUUUCUUUC